UGAAUACGAGAUGCUACGGCGUCGAAGCAGUCUAUGUCAUACUUCCAAGAAAAGCUCGCACUGUCAUAAACAAAUAAUGCCUGUACCAUAACCGACACAGGUGGGUAGGUAGAGUAUACUAAGGGGCGCGAGAUAACUCUCUCUAAGGAACUCGGCAAAAUGACUCCGUAACUUCGGGAGAAGGAGUGCCUUAUUUAUAAGGUUGCAAUAACAAGAUCCAAGCAACUGUUUAUCAAAAACACAGGUCUCCGCUAAGUCGUAAGACGAUGUAUGGGGGCUGACGCCUGCCCAGUGCCAGAAGGUUAAAGAAGUUGGUUAGCAUUCGCGAAGCUGAUAACUGAAGCCCUGGUGAACGGCGGCCGUAACGAUAACGGUCCUAAGGUAGCGAAAUUCCUUGUCGGGUAAGUUCCGACCCGCACGAAAGGCGUAAUGAUUUGGAUACUGUCUCGGAGAGGGGCUCGGUGAAAUAGACUUGUCUGUGAAGAUGCGGUCUACCUGCACCAGGACAGAAAGACCCUAUGAAGCUUUACUGUAACUUGAGAUUGAAAUUGGACUUUACUUGCGCAGUAUAGGUGGGAGGCGUUGAUAAUAUUCUUGCGGGAUUAUUUGAGCCAUCAGUGAGAUACCACUCUUGUAAUGUUAGAUUUCUAACUUUAUAUCAUUAUCUGGUCAAAGGACAGUUUCAGGCGGGCAGUUUGACUGGGGCGGUCGCCUCCUAAACGGUAACGGAGGCGCACAAAGGUUUCCUCUGAACGGGUAGAAAUCGUAUCUAGAGUGUAAAGGCAUAAGGAAGCUUGACUGUGAGACCUACAAGUCGAGCAGGGACGAAAGUCGGUCUUAGUGAUCUGACGGUGCUGAGUGGAAAGGCCGUCACUCAACGGAUAAAAGUUACUCUAGGAUAACAGGCUGAUCUCCCCCAAGAGUUCACAUCGACGGGGAGGUUUGGCACCUCGAUGUCGGCUCAUCGCAUCCUGGGGCGGUAGUACGUCCCAAGGGUUGGGCUGUUCGCCCAUGAAAGCGGUACGCGAGCUGGGUUCAGAACGUCGUGAGACAGUUCGGUCCAUAUCCGGUGUAGGCGUUAGAAUAUUGAGAGGAGCCUUCUUUAGUACGAGAGGACCGAGAAGGACAUACCUCUGGUGUACCAGUUAUCGUGCCAACGGUAAACGCUGGGUAGCUAUGUAUGGAGUGGAUAACCGCUGAAAGCAUCUAAGUGGGAAGCCCACCUCAAGAUAAG
rnacentral:rRNA from 1 species